rnacentral:rRNA from 1 species
GAUGAACGCUGGCGGCGUGGAUAAGGCAUGCAAGUCAAGGGGGCCGCAAGGCAACCGGCAAACGAGGUAGUAAUAACUAGGUACGAACCUUCAAGUCGAGCACAGCUCGUCGAAAGACGGGGUAAUUCUCGAUAGUCCCUCCGGGGUAAAGAUUUAUCGCUUGAAGAUCGGCCUGGUCGGUAUCAGCUAGUUGGUGAGGUAAAAGCUCACCAAGGCAAUGACGCCUAGGGGACCUGAGAGGGUGACCCCC